AGUCCUGAAAAAGCUUUUCAUGCUUUUAAGUGCACUGGUAAAAUAUCUUAUAUAACAUCAUGAAUUGUUUGUGAUUUAUGCAUUGCUUACAUUUUUUUUUUUCAAUGCGCAAAUACUUUUGAAUGGCUGUCAGUCUAGAAAAAUGUUUGUUGCUGCCAGAUGCUGAAGUUAUGGUAUCUAAUAGCAGGGGCUGAGAGGACCAUGAUAAGGUAGCCAGACCAAACUAUUAACUAGAUAAUUGUUGCCCUUUUGUAGUAUCUUGGAGAAACUAAAUGUAAUGGGGUGGAGGUAGUAUUGGGAGUGGCUCAACUGUAUAUUACGCUUGUUUAGGACUACAAAUGAGCUGGACUACAAACCCCAUGAGUCUAGGUACUAUAAAGAGGAAAUCAAACUUUUAGGCCUUCCUCUUUGUGGUACCAUGUACUAAGCAGGAGAAGCUGUGUGGCAUGUUUCAAGGCUGCGUGACAGAUGAAACGACUAGUUACCAUUGUGCUUACUGGAGAUAUACUGAUGGGUGCCUCGGAGAAUUGAGUAGAUUUAUUCAAUAAGACGGGUACUGAUUUAUUGGAGUAUGUGAAAUUUGUUUUUAAGCUUUUCUAUUGUAAGUUGUGUAUUAUGUUUUAUCGUGUUAAGUGAUUUAAUUCCAAUAUUUUAAAGGGGCAAUCAUGAAUUGUGUUUUCUUUAUUUUUACAGAUGAUGCAUGAUUGCCAUUUACUUUUAUUGGAAAUAUUGAUGGCUUGAUGUUGGGUCUUAAGAUAUGACUUUAAAUGUUACAUUGUGAUGGCUUGAAUUUAUUAUGAGAUUGUGUUUUUAUGUGUUAUUUUUUGUUUAUUUGUUUUGUUUGAACCAACAAACAACAGCGGGGUUCCCAUUUUCUUAUAGGCUACAUGGUUAACUCUGUUAAGAUGAAUUGCCAUUCUAAAUGAUUGGGGAACCCUAUGGUCUGUAGUGGGUUUAACCUUGUUUGUUUUGUUCCUUUGCAACUUCCAAUUACCUUUUGUGUCCAAUAAAUUUUGUUGAACUCGCAAGGAAACACACUGUGAUUGUUGCCCUUCCUUUACAUCUUCCCCAUCACUUGUAAGGUCUGGGGAGGGUUAUAUAAGUACAGUAUGACAGAAUUUUGCAUUUUUUUUUUUUUUAUAGAUUUUAGUACUCCUCUUCGAAUCUCUGAACCCAUCUUGAAUGAGAAGUAAUUGAAAUUGAAGUAAACCAUAUUAUUUAUUAAAUUGGGUAGCCAGCUAUAUAUAAAAAAAAAAAAAACCCUUAUGAGGUUUCGUUGCAUUUUUUAGAGAUUAGCAGACUAUAACAUUGCUCAACCGCAGUAGCAGGGAAAAUAUCCAAUAUGAAAUGCUAAAGUGUUAGGUGGCAAUCAUUCUGUUAGAUUCAAAAAUUAUAUUUUGUAAUGGGAUUCAGUCAAUGAGAUUGCUCUAGAGAUUGGCCCGUAGGUUACCUGUAGGCAGAUGCAUAUCGAUGGGCAUGUUGAGGGAAAAUGAAAGACUGUUGUUUGGUGGCU